rnacentral:rRNA from 1 species
GAUUCUGGCUCAGAUUGAACGCUGGCGGCAGGCCUAACACAUGCAAGUCGAACGGUAACAGGAAGAAGCUUGCUCUUGCUGACGAGUGGCGGACGGGUGAGUAAUGUCUGGGAAACUGCCUGAUGGAGGGGGAUAACUACUGGAAACGGUAGCUAAUACCGCAUAACGUCGCAAGACCAAAGAGGGGGACCUUCGGGCCUCUUGCCAUCGGAUGUGCCCAGAUGGGAUUAGCUUGUUGGUGGGGUAACGGCUCACCAAGGCGACGAUCCCUAGCUGGUCUGAGAGGAUGACCAGCCACACUGGAACUGAGACACGGUCCAGACUCCUACGGGAGGCAGCAGUGGGGAAUAUUGCACAAUGGGCGCAAGCCUGAUGCAGCCAUGCCGCCGUGUAUGAAGAAGGCCUUCGGGUUGUAAAGUACUUUCAGCGGGGAGGAAGGGAGUAAAGUUAAUACCUUUGCUCAUUGACGUUACCCGCAGAAGAAGCACCGGCUAACUCCGUGCCAGCAGCCGC